rnacentral:rRNA from 1 species
UACGUAGGGCGCAAGCGUUGUCCGGAAUUAUCGGGCGUAAAGAGCUCGUAGGCGGUUUGUCGCGUCUGCUGUGAAAACCUAAGGCUCAACCUUGGGCUUGCAGUGGGUACGGGCAGACUAGAGUGCGGUAGGGGUGACUGGAAUUCCUGGUGUAGCGGUGGAAUGCGCAGAUAUCAGGAGGAACACCGAUGGCGAAGGCAGGUCACUGGGCCGCAACUGACGCUGAGGAGCGAAAGCAUGGGGAGCGAACAGG